rnacentral:SRP_RNA from 1 species
GCUGGGUGUGGUAGUGGGCACCUAUAAUCCCAGCUACUUAGGAGGCUGAGGCAGGAGAAUCGCUUGAACCCGGGAGUUGGAGCUUGCAGUGAGCCGAGACUGUGCCACUGCACUCCAGCCUGGGUGACAGAGUGAGACUCUGUCUCAA